rnacentral:rRNA from 1 species
UACAGAGGUCCCAAGCGUUGUUCGGAUUCACUGGGCGUAAAGGGUGCGUAGGCGGUCGGGUAAGUCUGACGUGAAAUCUCCGGGCCUAACCCGGAAACUGCGUCGGAUACUAUCCGGCUAGAGGAUUGGAAGGGAGACUGGAAUACUUGGUGUAGCAGUGAAAUGCGUAGAUAUCAAGUGGAACACCAGUGGCGAAGGCGAGUCUCUGGACAAUUCCUGACGCUGAGGAACGAAAGCCAGGGGAGCAAACGGG